CCUGGCCUUGACAUACUAAGAACUUCCAGAGAUGGAUUGGUGCCUUCGGGAACUUAGAUACAGGUGCUGCAUGGCUGUCGUCAGCUCGUGUCGUGAGAUGUUGGGUUAAGUCCCGCAACGAGCGCAACCCUUUUCCUUAUUUGCCAGCGGGUUAAGCCGGGAACUUUAAGGAUACUGCCAGUGACAAACUGGAGGAAGGCGGGGACGACGUCAAGUCAUCAUGGCCCUUACGGCCAGGGCUACACACGUGCUACAAUGGUCGGUACAAAGGGUUGCUACCUCGCGAGAGGAUGCUAAUCUCAAAAAGCCGAUCGUAGUCCGGAUCGCAGUCUGCAACUCGACUGCGUGAAGUCGGAAUCGCUAGUAAUCGCGGAUCAGAAUGCCGCGGUGAAUACGUUCCCGGGCCUUGUACACACCGCCCGUCACACCAUGGGAGUUUGUUGCACCAGAAGUAGGUAGUCUAACCGCAAGGAGGACGCUUACCACGGUGUGGCCGAUGACUGGGGUGAAGUCGUAACAAGGUAGGCGUAGAUGA
rnacentral:rRNA from 1 species